UACGUAGGUGGCAAGCGUUGUCCGGAUUUACUGGGCGUAAAGGGCAAGCAGGCGGAUCGUUAAGUAGAAAAGUGAAAGGUCGGAGCUCAACUCCAACAUUGCUUUCUAUACUGGCGGUCUUGAGUCCCGGAGGGGAGAGCGGAACGACACGUGUAGCGGUGAAAUGCGUUGAUAUGUGUCGGAACACCAAUGGCGAAGGCAGCUCUCUGGACGGGUACUGACGCUCAUUUGCGAAAGCCGAGGUAGCGAACAGG
rnacentral:rRNA from 1 species